UCGAUACAUGGGCGCAGGUGAGGAAGUU
rnacentral:piRNA from 1 species